GUAGGGGGCAAGCGUUGUCCGGAAUUAUUGGGCGUAAAGCGCGCGCAGGCGGCCCGUUAAGUCAGAUGUGAAAUCCCUCGGCUCAACCGAGGACCUGCAUUUGAAACUGACAGGCUAGAGUACAGGAGAGGGAAGCGGAAUUCCUAGUGUAGCGGUGAAAUGCGCAGAUAUUAGGAAGAACACCGGUGGCGAAGGCGGCUUCCUGGACUGUUACUGACGCUGAGGUGCGAAAGCUAGGGGAGCGAACAGGAUUAGAUACCCUGGUAGUCCUAGCCGUAAACGAUGGGCACUGGGUGUAGGGGGGUAUCAACUCCCCCCUGUGCCGAAGCUAACGCAUUAAGUGCCCCCGCCUGGGGAGUACGCCGCAAGGCUA
rnacentral:rRNA from 1 species